AGGGCUACAAGCAGCGCAGGUGUGCAGGAUCAGACGACAGGAGACGGUUUCUGUAUCAAGGUACUGUAAGAGAAGGUGUCAUAGUUUUAUAGUGGUGUGAUAAACAAACCAAGAAGGACAAACAUUUUAUUUCUAGAUCAUUAACACACUUGAGUAACCGUGCCAUGUUGAAAGUAGUUGUUGACCAUCAAGGAAGUGGUGGAAAAAUCAAGACACAUGAUCCAAGAAUAGACAGACACCUCAAAGCUGCCACCUUUGUGUGACAAUCUAUCCUCGUGUUGGGCCUCAACACUUGGGCGGACCUGCAGGCAGAUGAGAGCUGUGGCCUCUCUCAUACAGACAGAAGUGAUAGCUUAGAUCUAGGAAGACCAUUCAGGAUGUUUAGCCCUUCAUGCGGGAGUUCAAGUCCACUUUCUUUAAUGGAUCUCGACAUGUGGGACACCAAAUCUCGUUUUACAGCCCAGACUUCAGCAUGGUGUGGAUCCUGGAAUCCUGGAUCGGGAUUUAUGUCCAAAGUCAGCUCAGGCACUGGAGGCUUCAGACAGAGUGAUCCAGGACUAAGAAAGUGGCAAUCAUUGUCCUAUCUGGCACCUGAGGCUGCUACACGACCCUUUCCUUCGGCAGCAGCUGAAUUAAGGGCUGCCCGUGGUGAGAGUAGCUUCAGACAAGCAGCAGUGGUGCAGUGGCUGCAAGAUGCUCAUGAACGAAUAGACACUCACCUGGACCGCCUGAAGACCAGAAACUCACAGUUGAGUGCUGCACAGCUGCUUGAUAUGAAACACAAGCAUCUAUCAGAGGCAAUGAGCGCGCUUGAGCAGAAGGAGGCAGCUGAACUAACCCAACAUGAAAAGCACCAAAAGCGUGAAGAGCUCCAUGAGAAGGUCCUGAAGCUGGAGAAGGACCUGUUGCAAAUGAAGUCUACUUUGGACAGAGGAAGCGUCAAUCAACCAAUCGAAAAAGCUCCCAGCUCAACCAGCAGAACAGUACCAGUAAGUGAAGAGGAUAGCAACAAGCAGGAGAAGCAGAAGGACGACACAGAGUUGCUGAGAGAGGCCCUGAAAGAAACUGAGAUCAGAGCAAAGGCACAAGAAGAAGAACGAAACAAGGCACUGCAGCACCUCCACACGUCCACAGAGACACAGAGGACACUGCUGAAUCAAAUUGAGGAGAUGAACAAGAAGCUGAGUCAGACUGCACAGAAUCACUCUGAAGUGCAAGAACAGCUAUGUGAAGCCAACAGCAAGAUCAGUCAAGCGUGCCUGGAAAAGGCUAUUUUGUCCACACAAAUAGUGAAGCUGGAGGACAACAUGAAGGAAAUGAAGGCCAGACUGACAGAGGCUCUGGCUGACAAAGACCACCUAACCCAAGAGAAAGCAGAUCUUCUUGAGAAGGGUCAGGAUCUUGAGGCCAAGAGGAUCCAACAUGCUUUCAAUGAGUCUCUAAACAACAACAACAACAACAACCAGCCAACCAUCCUGAUAAAGGAAGAGUUAAAGGCUUUCAGAGAGGUCAAUGAAGAGCUCAGAGGAGAGCUUGAAGUGACCAAGCAGAGUCUGGAGAUGUCACAGUGUCAGGUACAGGAGCUAAAAGAAGAGAAGAUCGUGAACAACAAGCUGAUUACAGAACUGGAGGUGCGGCGCUCUCAGCUGCUCAGAGAGAAAGAGGAGCUGCUGAGUAAAAUGAAUGAAGGUGGAGACGAGGGGCUGAUGAAGAUAAAGGAAAGGUGCUGCCAGUACAGAGAAUCUGUGGAAUCUUUGGAAUCAGAAAACCAGAAACUGCAGGAUCAGUGUCUGUGUUUGGAGGCUGAGGUCACUGAGAAGGAGAAACUGCUGCACCUGCAUGAGGAAGAGUAUCGUGAACAAGACGCAGAGAGAGUGCAGAGCAUCAAGGAAAUGAAAGCUGUGGUCUCACACUGGACUGAGAAAUGGCAAAAGGUGGCUCUGACCCUGCAGUCCACACAAGAAGAGCUAGAGGAACUCAAGAAGAACACCAGAAAUGAUAGAGACUCUGCCUCACUGCUGAGGGCUGAGCUUGAUGCAUGCAAACAUGAGCUGGAGCUGGAAAGAGGCAGGACACAGGCACUCCUACACAGAUACAAAGGUGGUGGGGCUGUGGAGACUCGGGACAGAGAGACCGUGACAGACUUAACAGAAUCCUCUUUGUUUUGGGAACAAGCAUCGGACCCCAACAGCCACCAAAACAAAUCCUCUCAGGUGUGCAUACAAAGCAGCGAGGUUCAAACGCUGAAGCAAAAACUUGCAGAAAGAGAGAAGGAACUGAGGGAAAAAGAGCAUGCUUUGAAGAGUUUGGAAAGGCUGAGAGAAGCAGAAAAAAUGGAGGCUCAAAUCACGAUUUCUGCUCUGGAGCUCAAGGUACAGCCACUGAAAACACUGAAGCACAUCAGACCCUGCAUUUUCUUCUCACGUUGUCAUCUCUGUUCUUCAUCUAAGCUCGUGAACAAGGUCUCUGAAGAUGCUCAACAAGAUAAAAGCCUGCAAGCAGACAUCUUGACUACUGAUUCACUCAGGGCCCAGUUGGAUGAGUGCAGGAGGAGGGAGGACCAGCUGCAGCAGGAGAAGGUGCUGGCGGUCCAGAAGCUUCAAACACUGCGACAGCUUUACCUGGUUAAAGAUGAGAAACAACCUGUUGAGAGCAGGAAGGAUAAAAUCAUUUGUCCGGUUAAUCAAGAGACAGAGCAGCAAAGGAGAAUGGUCACAGAGCAGUUAAAGAGUUUGUUUAAAGAGCGAGAAGAAAAGCAGACUGGAAAGACUGACAACACAUCAGCAGCUGGAGCUUCCUCACCUCAAGACCGGACUCCCACAGCUAAAGCUGUUAGAGCAGCAGUGGAGAGGAGAUACUGGCAGGAGGGAUCAGGUUUGAUGCCAGUGUUAGAGGAGGAUGAGGAGAACGACUGGACAGGAGGGAAAGAGGAAGGAGAGCCUACAGAAGGGAGUCAUCCUGAAGGAGAGCUGCCCACCCACACACAUCAGACUUAGUGUUGGAUCCGGCACUCCAGGACCUCAACGCUACAGGAAAAGUAUCACACAUGUCUUCACACUGUUCAGAGGAGUGUGACCUGCAGCAGAGGUGGACACCUGCCAUCUAUCCUGAUGGUAUAUUCUUGGCUGAACUUGUAUCUAUCUGUAGCCCUGAUGAAGAUGAAGAGGAAGAUGAGGUUGGUUGUAGUGUUUUGAAUACUUAAAGCGACAGUUUAUAAAAAAAAUAUAUGAAUGCUUUAUGUUGUUCCUGUGGCUUGCAGCACUAUUUAUUUAUCUCCAAGUGUGGAGAUAGAUGAAGUAGAGAUAACAUUUGGUGACAGUUUGGUGGAAAAUAGUUCCUCAUUAAAUUGCUCAGAACAAGAUCUGUGGAUUUUCAUAAGUAACCAAGGAAUGCUUAAUGAAAGCGACAUCACUGAAGGCCUCAAGAAAAAGUUUUAUAUUUUAUUAUGUUUAAUAAGUGACCUUUCAGCUGCUGAGCUCACCAGAUUUUUGCCUGUUUAUUUUUCUGCUCACACACUUUUAACAUUAAAGAUUGUGUUUUUUAUAUGUCAGUCUUAACAGAACAGCAUCUAAUUUAAGCCUUAACCGGUGCUGUUAAUAAAUAGCAC
ensembl:lncRNA interaptin-like